rnacentral:rRNA from 1 species
AGUGAACGCUGGCGGCGUGCCUAAUACAUGCAAGUCGAACGGAGAUUAAGUAGCUUGCUAUUUAAUCUUAGUGGCGCACGGGUGAGUAAUAUAUAGCUAACUUGCCCAUUACUAAGGGACAACAGUUGGAAACGACUGCUAAUACCUUAUACUCCGUAUCUAUAUAAGUAGAUACGGGAAAGUUUUUCGGUAAUGGAUAGGGCUAUAUCGUAUCAGCUAGUUGGUAGGGUAAUGGCUUACCAAGGCUAUGACGCGUAACUGGUCUGAGAGGAUGAUCAGUCACACUGGAACUGAGACACGGUCCAGACUCCUACGGGAGGCAGCAGUAGGGAAUAUUGCUCAAUGGGGGAAACCCUGAAGCAGCAACGCCGCGUGGAGGAUGACACUUUUCGGAGCGUAAACUCCUUUUCUUGGGAAAGAAUUAUGACGGUACCCAAGGAAUAAGCACCGGCUAACUCCGUG